GCUGGGUGCUUUGCAUACACUGGAAUUGGAACGAUACAGAGAGAAGAUUAUCAUGUCCCCUGCACGAAGGAUGACAUGCAAAUUCAUGAAGUGUUCCAUAUUUUU